ensembl:misc_RNA Metazoa_SRP Metazoan signal recognition particle RNA
GCUGGGCAUGGUAGGGGUGCCUGUAGUCCCAGCUACUCGGGAGGCUGAGGUAGGAGGAUCGCUUGAGCCCAGGAGGUGGAGGUUGCAGUGAGCCAAGAUUGUACCACUGCACUCCAGCCUGGACAACACAGUGAGAUCCUAUCUCAA